rnacentral:rRNA from 1 species
UACAGAGGGUGCAAACGUUGUUCGGAAUUACUGGGCGUAAAGCGCGUGUAGGCGGCUUUGUAAGUCGGAUGUGAAAUCCCGCGGCUCAACCGUGGAAGUGCACUCGAAACUGCAAGGCUAGAGUAUCGGAGAGGAAGGUGGAAUGCUUGGUGUAGAGGUGAAAUUCGUAGAUAUCAAGCGGAACACCGGUGGCGAAGGCGGCCUUCUGGACAGUGACUGACGCUGAGACGCGAAAGCGUGGGGAGCAAACAGG